rnacentral:rRNA from 1 species
UACGAAGGGGGCGAGCGUUGUUCGGAAUUACUGGGCGUAAAGGGCUCGUAGGCGGCCAACUAAGUCGGAUGUGAAAUCCCCAGGCUUAACCUGGGAAUUGCAUCCGAUACUGGAUGGCUUGAAUCCGGGAGAGGGAUGCGGAAUUCCAGGUGUAGCGGUGGAAUGCGUAGAGAUCCGGAAGAACACCGGUGGCGAAGGCGGCCUGCUGGGCAGUAGCUGACGCUGAUGCGCGACAGCGUGGGGAGCAAACAGG